UGGAGGUGUGGGCAAGGUAGGAAAGAGGAGCACGACGCAGAUACAAGGAUGGUGGAUGAGAAUGGGGAAGGAAAUGAAGCGAGAGAAGAAAGAGAGAAAGGGAAGGCGAGGAGAAGAGAGACGAAGAGGGAAAAAAAAAAUAUAAGGGUAAACUUCAAAUACCGUCCCUGUGGUUUCGCACUUUCUCACUUUAGUACUUAUAAUUUAAAAUGUACCAAUUUAGUACCCUGUAAUUUUAUUUUUCUUUUUUUGUCAGCCCCCUCAUUAACUUUUCAUUAAAUCAUAUAUUAAAACCUUCAGAUACCCCACCUAUAGUUUAUCGAAUAUUCACUUUAGUACUCUUUAAUUUUAGCUUUGUCGCUGAUUUAAUAAAAAAAUUAGUUAAAAGAAUAACAAAAAGAGAACAAUAAAAUCACAGAGUACAAAAGUGAGAAAGUACAAAACCUCAGGGGUGACAUUUGAAGUUUUCUCAAAANUUUUUUAUAAAAUUAUAAUAUUAUUAAUAUUUUAUAAAUUAUAAAUUAAUAAUUUUUAAUAAUAUUAUAUAUAUAAUUAAAAAAAAUUAAUUAUAAAAAUUAAAAAUAUUAAUUACAAUUCAAAAGUUUCAAAUACAUUAAAAAUAAGAGUACUAACUUAUUUGUAUUUUGAAUUUUUUUUUGUAAAUACAUUAUUUUUUAGGAAUAUUUUGUAAAAUAUAAAUAUUUUUCGGGACGAAUUCGUGGCGGAUCAUGGCAGGGCGGAUUCGGAACGGGUCAAAAUUUCUCCCAUUUUCUGCCCCGAAUCCGUCCGGAUCGUAAAGUUUACUCCGUUUCUCGCCCCGAAUCCGUUUAUUUUCUCCCAUUUACUGCCCCCGUCGGGACGGAUCGGGGCGGGAGCUCCACCAACCCGGAUCCGUUUGCAUCCCCAUAAACACCUAA
rnacentral:lncRNA from 1 species